CUUGGGUUUAGUCCUCCUCUACUAGACAGCCACUAGAGGAGACUUACGUGUUCAUAGAACACGAAAAGUGUUUUAAAACGGCUCUGGACGUCCUCACACUAUGUGGGGACCUCCAGCGUCGCCGAAAUCCCCAUAGGAAAGCAUUGUGUAAUGCUUUCCUAUAGGGAGGUCUAAUGUGCUUGUGCGGCCAUUGAAGAGAGUAGGCAGAGCCUGACUCAGCGCUGAGGGACAUCAGCGCUGGACUCCGGUAAGUCACUGAAGGGGUUUUAAACGCCUUCAACAACUUGGGAUGAGGGGUGGG